CGGGGCUCAUAACCUGUUAAGAUAUAGGCGAGUGGAACUGUGUAGGUAAAGCCAACCUCAACCGUUACAGGUAUCACAGAACAAGCUUUCAGUCAAAACAUCAUCUCCUUUAUACCAAACAUUCCAUCUUAUCUGUCGUACAGCCGUUAGUGUUCUGGCCGGAAGUCAACAAAUAAUUACCAUUACAAUACUAUAGGAACAUUUUCCAAUUGUUAAUUCACGCAAAGCGCACCGAGCAUUUUUCACGAACUCCUGCAGCUAUGUAUGUACAAGCCUGGUGA
rnacentral:lncRNA from 1 species